UACAGAGGUCCCAAGCGUUGUUCGGAUUCACUGGGCGUAAAGGGUGCGCAGGUGGGUUGGCAAGUUCGAUGUGAAAGCCCCGGGCUUAACCCGGGAAUGGCAUUGGAAACUGCUGAUCUGGAGGAUCGGAGGGGGGACUGGAAUUCCUGGUGUAGCGGUGAAAUGCGCAGAUAUCAGGAGGAACACCGGUGGCGAAGGCGGGUCUCUGGGCCGAUACUGACGCUGAGGAGCGAAAGCGUGGGGAGCAAACAGG
rnacentral:rRNA from 1 species